rnacentral:rRNA from 1 species
UACGUAGGGGGCAAGCGUUGUCCGGAUUUAUUGGGCGUAAAGAGCGUGUAGGCGGCCAGACAGGUCCGUUGUGAAAACUGGAGGCUCAACCUCCAGACGUCGAUGGAAACCGUCUGGCUAGAGUCCGGAAGAGGAGAGUGGAAUUCCUGGUGUAGCGGUGAGAUGCGCAGAUAUCAGGAAGAACACCCGUGGCGAAAGCGGCUCUCUGGGACGGUACUGACGCUGAGACGCGAAAGCGUGGGGAGCGAACAGG